rnacentral:SRP_RNA from 1 species
GCCGGGCACGGUGGCUCAUGCCUGUAAUCCCAGCACUUUGGGAGGCUGAGGCAGGUAGAUCACCUGAAGUCAGGAGUUCGAGACCAACCUGGCCAACAUGGCGAAACCCUGUCUCUACUAAAAAUNNNNNNNNNNUUUUUGUAUUUUUAGUAGAGACAGGGUUUCGCCAUGUUGGCCAGGUUGGUCUCGAACUCCUGACUUCAGGUGAUCUACCUGCCUCAG